rfam:Lysinibacillus sphaericus OT4b.31 genomic scaffold Ls31_scaffold1, whole genome shotgun sequence.
UUAAGUGGAACAAAGACUAAAGUCGUCACGUCCUGUGACAACGCCUUCGUGACCAACAUCCUGUUGC